rnacentral:rRNA from 1 species
GACAGAGGUCUCGAGCGUUAGGCGGAAUCACUGGGCUUAAAGCGUGUGUAGGCGGAUGCCUAAGUACCUUGUGAAAUCCCACGGCUCAACCGUGGAAUUGCUUGGUAUACUGGGUGUCUUGAGCCAGCUAGGGGCAACCGGAACAAAUGGUGGAGCGGUGAAAUGCGCAGAUAUCAGGAGGAACACCGGUGGCGAAGGCGGGUCUCUGGGCCGAUACUGACACUGAGGAGCGAAAGCGUGGGGAGCGAACAGG